ensembl:lncRNA
AUGAAUAACUUUGAUGGUAUUGAGGAGCCAGUGGUCGUGUCGUCUGUGGGAAAGAAGCGGAAGCCGUCAAAAGACAACCACGAAAGGGAAGUCAGAAAGAGAGUCAGAAACUCAGGCGGUGGCAAAAUACCGGCGAUUGCUUGUUCUCACAGUGAAUCAAAAAACUUUUGUCAUGCCGACAAACUGACAGCUGACGAUCUUGUAAAAAACUUCGACACUCUCUACUGUCAUACCACGAAGGCCGAACAAGACCAAGCAAUUUUACGCCUGAUAACAGUAAAACGGGUACAGCGAAGACGUCCCAAGGUGGCAAUUGAAGAUGCACAGAAGGAGAGGGAGGUCACGAACGAGUACUACUUGCUCUCCAAGGAUCAUCCCACGAAGGUUCCUGUCUGCAAGGCAACUUUCUGUGCAGCGCUGGGUAUUGGCAAAGAUAGAGUAGCUCGAGUGGCAAGAUAUUAUGCAGAGAAUGCUGAGGCCAGACCAGAACGUAGGGGUGGUGCUCGCAAAGUUACAGAAAAUGAAGAAAAGAAGAAACUUGUGAUGGAUCACAUUCAAACAUUCACUUGUAGGGCAAGCCACUAUGGCAGAAGAGGAGCACCUGGGCGGAAAUACCUUCCCAGUGACCUCAGCGUAAAAAAAAUGCAUGAUUUGUUCAAGCAGCAAAAUCAUGAUGCUGUUAGCUACUCUCUCUAUUACAGUGUUUUCCGAUACAGUUUCAACCUUGCAUUUGGACAUCCAGCCACCGACGCGUGUUCUACAUGUGCAAAGUUUCAUCUCACAGUAAAGAACCCCACCUUGCCUGAAGAGGAGAAGCGUACAGCAUCAGCAUCUUUCAUUUUGCAUCGCAGACGAGCAAGGGUGUUUUAUGAUUUGCUUGGGCAAAGUGACAAUGCAGCAUUGACAGUGCUUCGACAUGAUGCAGAAUCUAGUACUCCCAAAAACCCCCAUUGGUCAGGCGUACUACUCCCGCCAGCUCUACAUGUACAUCUUUGGUGUUGUUGUCCAUGCUGGGAAAGGCAGCAAGCAAAGCAAGGAUGACAUCCAUCUUUACACAUGGAUGGAACACGAGAACAGAAAAGACAGUAAUUUGACUGCUUCUGCUCUGAAUCACUUUUUUUGGCAGCCAUUGAAUGUUGCACUUUGCAAUGUUCAGAAGUUGAGAUUAUUCAGUGAUUCCUGUUUUGGACAAAACAAAAAUGUGAAUGUUCUGUCAAUGCUGUUUGCUUUAACAAAGCAGAAUUGUCCUAAUAUGAUCACGGAAUAUGUGUUUCCCAUCAGGGGAUACAGUUUCCUUCCUGUUGACCGCGUUUUCGGGAGGAUUGAGCAGCAGAUUUGAAAGCACAAUACCAUCCUCAUGCCAGAAGAGUACUAUGACAUUUUGAGGAACCAUGGACAUGUCCAUGUCUACGGCCAGGACUGGCAAGCUUAUGAUUUCAAGAAGGCAGCACAGGUUUUUGUAAAGCCACAGAAGUCAUUCAAGCUCAGUGAUGCUAGAAUGCUGGAACUCAGGAAUGACAAACUUGGAUUCAAGACUGUGUACAACAGUGACUUCUGCUAUCACUCGGUUUUGAAGCGAGGACAGAACUGGGAAAACUUCAAGCCGAGUCAGCUCCCAAAUGUAAGCACAGUGAAUGAUGCAAAAAGAACAGUGACACUGUGCGUGCCUUCUAUGAUGGAGCACUCAUUGUAAAUGAUGCCGACCGUGACAGCCCUGAAGAAUAAUUCUGCCGAUUGUGCCUUUUGAGUUCACUGUUUCAGUGCAUAAUAAGUGUGUGUGAACACGUGUGUGUGAGAAAGACCUGAGCAAACAGGAGGAGGAGUUAAGUGAGUGCGGAGAAAGUCUGUGUGUGGUUGGGUGUGUCUAGAUAAUGGCACUUCACAAUGGCACUGAAUUGUAGUUGUCCAUAAUAAAUAGAUAAAUAGAUAAAUAAAUAAAUAGAUAAAUAGAUAGAUAGAUAAAUAAAUAAAUAAAUAGAUAAAUAAAUAAAUAAAUAACAUGCACUACAACAUGAUUAAUGUAUUUCAUAUAUCUGUGUUCCACUAUAAGAAAUUUGUUCAAGUUGGCAUUGUUAUGUAAAUCGACUGUCAUGGUUGCUUAUAGCCCAGUUAUGUUGCACAAUCUCACACAGAUGUAUUGUUUAUUUAAAGUUAUAUUUUGCACAGAAAUGUUAUGUUUUUUAAUGGCACAGAAAUAUUGUUUUUAUGAACAUGUUUUUAUGAAGCAUUGUGAUGGAUGUAUUUUUUAGAAAUCUGUUGUCCAAGUUUGGGACUUGUAUAGAUAACUUACUAUUUAAUACUAUUUAACUUAAUAAUUGUACAGUUUCGUACAUUGUUUUGAAAAUUUAAUGAAUGUAGUGUACAGAAUAACAAGAUGAAUGCAACAGAAACAAAAUUUUGCUCUAAUGUUACGUAUGAGUUCAGGAUGAAUUUGAAAUGGUGCUAUUAACAGCAUUAAUAUCAGACUGAAAUGAAUGCAAUCUGAAAAAGGCAGCGAGAUGAAUGUACUUUUAAAAAUUGGUUUAAUGGUUUAAUAUAAGUGAUGUUGUUCAAGUUUUGGGGUUUGUCAUAUGUAUAGACAACCUUUCCUUGUUAUUUAUUGUUAUGUCUUUGCUCAAUUUCAUACAGAAAGUGAGUUUUUGUUGAUGAAAUGGAUUUGUAGCAUUUUGGGGAAAAACGUGUUAUGGAUAUAUUGCAUUUUGGAGAAAAAAAAAUGUCUUUGUUUAAUAAAUGUUUAAAAUCAAAAUAUGGAUUUGAUUUUUUUUAUGUUAUUACAAACUCAUAAUGAUAUAUUACAGUUUGAAACAGAAAAUAACAGUUUUCAUACAAACAGUCUUUUGGGAAAGAAAAUGCCUUUUUUCUCAAUUUAACAAUUUUGGAUUUAUAGCGUUUUGGAACCAAACUCUUCAAUUCCAGCUGCAGUGUUGAGCUGAUUGCCCAUUGAGAUUUUCUGCAUUAUCCAGUCCUCUUGUGCAUUAAAUUAAUUUUAUCUUUUGUGAAUGAUCAGCCGUUUUGGGCGACUUGAAUAAGUUAGUGACUGUAAAGAUGCAUAAUUCCAGAAAUCACAGAUUUGGAAUGAUCAGCUUCUCUUGCUAUGGCUGAAAGGGUCACCCCAUUUGGCCUUCAUCUGGACAACCUGAUGUCACUUUAGAACGGUUCAUCAUCUUGCAAAGUCAGCUGGAAAGUUAGACUGCUGGUUAAAUAAAGUUUGUCAGAAACUGUAAUUAAGGAAAUUAGCACUGGGUGCCAGAUUAAAAGUUAUCUGAAAGUGUUCUCUAAUUUUGAUAAUUGUUCUCUUUCAAAUAUCUCAUUUAAGUUUUUCUAUACUGUACAAUAUGUUUAACUAAAAUUGCUCAUAAAUAUGCUUAAACUGCUUUCACUCCUGUUUGUAUAACUUCAAAUAGGACUAAGCAGUGACCACGACAUUUAGGAAAUUGUAGGUUGUGCUUUAAUUUUGAUCCACUGUAUUUUAAUAAUCACUUUUGUGUUUUAACUCAACACUUUUGUACUUAAGUUUUUGUUCAACUGUUGUCAUUUCUCAUUGUUAUUCAUGUUAACUGCAUUUGCCCCCAUCUUUAAUACAAAAUUCUGCCAACUUUGAGCAAAUGGAAACAGAGACUAAUUAUUUUCUGUUUGUAAUGUAUAGUAUAUAAUACAUAUAUUGAUCCAUUUCUGGCAUACUAAGCAUGGAUAUGUACCUCUGAGAGAAUUGUUUUUUUUUUGGAAACCAUUUCUUUACUUUUGCCAUUGAGUUAUAUAUUUUUUUGUUGUUGUCAUGUCUUUGUAGACCUGAAGUUAAAUUUUAUAAUUUAAAACAACUUUUUUUUUUUUUUUUACAGUAUGGCAGAGGGAGGGCAGCCACAACUUGGAGACGAAAAAAGUGGGUCUUUGGCAUACUAGGAGUAAAGGAUGAGUGACGACAUCCAGUCUUACGCCUUGUAAAGAGAAGAGGAAGGCAGAAUCUUGUACCAAUCGUGGUCAAGCAUGUGCAACCUGGCACCACUAUUAUAAGUGACGAAUGGAGAGCGUAUAGAGGUGCAUUAGCUGCUAUGGGCUACACUCACUUUAGAGUAAAUCACAGACAGUGGUUCGUGGAGCCCACACCCAGCAUCUCAAGAGAGCGUCUACUAUUUGGAGACUCAGAGGAAACAGAACAGAAAAAAUCCUGAAGCAACACCUCUCAGUCAUUGAAUGGACUCACUGGCUGGCUGACAAACAUAGCCAGGGUCCCCUUGGUAGACUGUUAAAAGACAUUCAUCAUCACUAUCCUGUGUAGGAGUUCACCACAAAACAAGUUUUUUUUUUUGUUUUUUUUUUUAAUAACUAGCUGCUUGUUUUACUAUUGCUGUUAAAAAUAAAAAGUGUUACAUUUGCCUGUUGACAGUACAUCAUGUUUACAGGAGACAUUGUUUUUG